rnacentral:misc_RNA from 1 species
UUAAGUUCAGCGGGUAUUCCUACCUGAUCCGAGGUCAAACUCUAAAAGAUGGGGUUUUACGGCGUGGGCGCGCUACUUUGCAAUGCGAGGUGUGCUACUACGCAGAGCAAGUGCAGCGAGGCCGCCACUGUAUUUGGGCGGUGCGCCCGCUAGACGAGCUAGCAGGCACAGCCGCCAACACCGCUGCCGAAGGGCCGCGA